CAUCCUGCAGGAAGUAGAGUUAGAUAUCAUCACAAUAAACGAGUGUCAGCAGAAGGUUUCUUUACCGCCAGACACAAACUCGGUUGUAUGUGCUCUGACUCUCUAUAAGGAUACCUGUCAGGGUGACAGCGGUGGUCCUCUUGUUGCGAAACUUUGUGACGGCACCUGGGCUCAAAUCGGAAUUGUCAGCUAUGGUUUCCAGUGUGCCGUCCCUGACAACCCUGGUGUGUACACCCGUGUGUCUGCUUUCGCUAGCUGGAUCUCAGAUAACACUGGAGGUAGCAGCUGUAGUUCUACCCUAACACUUAGCGCAGAGCUUGACAACCGUGCAAAAGAGAGGGAAGCAGUGAACGAAGCGAAAAAUGAAGUGGUUAGAAUUGGACAAGAUCUAGAUGGACUUGAAACUACACUGAACGCUGCAAGUGGAAGACGGCGUAGACGCAGAAAUCUCACUCUGCUGCAGGAAUUGGCAACUGCACU